CCCUUAGAUGUUCUGGGCCGCACACGCGCUACACUGGCAGGUUCAUCGAGCUUCAUGCCCUGAUCUGAGAAGAACGGGAAAUCUUUGAACACCUGCCGUGCUUGGGAUAGAUGUUUGCAAUUAUUCAUCUUCAACGAGGAUUGCCUUGUAAGCGCACGUCAUCAGCGUGCAUUGAAUACGACCCUGUAUUCUGUACACACCGCCUGUCGCUCCUACCGAUUGAAGUUUUCGGUGAAUUUACUGGAGAUCCCUUUUGAAGGUGGUUCGCCACUGGAAGAAGUAUUCAAAAGUAAAUGAAUCGAAUGCUUUAGAGGAAGGAGAAGUCGUAACA
rnacentral:rRNA from 1 species